AUCGAAAGAAGAGGUCGCCUCAAUGAUGAGUAACCCUGGUAAGAUGAUUAAGCAUCUGGGACCCAGGGAGAAAGGUAACGAGGCCGAAAUGACUGCAGACUUAAUUCUGCACGAUUUGGGACUUGGUUGAAUAAGCCAAGGACUGUCGCAAUUACGGUUGCGGAGCGCUAUCUACGAU
rfam:Pediococcus acidilactici DSM 20284 genomic scaffold SCAFFOLD1, whole genome shotgun sequence.